CUACGUGCCAGCAGCCGCGGUAAUACGUAGGGUGCGAGCGUUAAUCGGAAUUACUGGGCGUAAAGCGAGCGCAGACGGUUACUUAAGCAGGAUGUGAAAUCCCCGGGCUCAACCUGGGAACUGCGUUCUGAACUGGGUGACUAGAGUGUGUCAGAGGGAGGUAGAAUUCCACGUGUAGCAGUGAAAUGCGUAGAGAUGUGGUGGAAUACCGAUGGCGAAGGCAGCCUCCUGGGAUAACACUGACGUUCAUGCUCGAAAGCGUGGGUAGCAAACAGGAUUAGAUACCCUGGUAGUCCACGCCCUAAACGAUGUCAAUUAGCUGUUGGGCAACUUGAUUGCUUAGUAGCGUAGCUAACGCGUGAAAUUGACCGCCUGGGGAGUACGGUCGCAAGAUUAAAACUCAAAGGAAUUGACGGGGACCCGCACAAGCGGUGGAUGAUGUGGAUUAAUUCGAUGCAACGCGAAGAACCUUACCUGGUCUUGACAU
rnacentral:rRNA from 1 species